UUUACAGCAUCUUCACUGAACGUUGAAAUUCGCAGUGAAGGGUGUGAUGAUCCAGGAAAGACUGGUUGCGGUAUAGCUUUCAUUAAAGUGAACAAUAAAGAUUACUCAUUACACAGAAGAGGUUUCAAUGUGGCGGUGUUCACUGAGCAAGGUUUAUUCCUUGAGUCCAGAGCGUUUGAUACGUAUGGUGUCUUGAAAGCCGGAACGAGUUUGACGAACUAUCUGAACCGUAUUUAUGGCAAUAAAAUUGUCCUCGUCGCCAUUCAAGACUCGGCAGAUACAUAUGGCUCAGUGGCAAUCAGUGCACUCAAGAGACUGGGAGCUAGAGAACCUAUCAUAUUACAGUUUCGUAGUUCGUUUGCCCUGGCAGGCUUCGCGGGUUCAGGGUUGCCUUCGUGGGUGAGUCAAGCGCAAAACAAGCGCUACAAGGGACCGAGUGUGUUGAGGGUUACUAUCGAAGGAGGUAAUUAUCAAGCAACUCUAACUUGUAUUUACGGGUC